GAUGAACGCUAGCGGCAGGCUUAACACAUGCAAGUCGAGGGGUAUAACACUUCGGUGUUAGAGACCGGCGCACGGGUGCGUAACGCGUAUGUAAUCUACCUUUUACAGAGGGAUAGCCCAGAGAAAUUUGGAUUAAUACCUCAUGGUAUUAUGGAUAGGCAUCUAUUUAUAAUUAAAGAUUUAUCGGUAAAAGAUGAGCAUGCGUCCCAUUAGCUAGUUGGUAUGGUAACGGCAUACCAAGGCGACGAUGGGUAGGGGUCCUGAGAGGGAGAUCCCCCACACUGGUACUGAGACACGGACCAGACUCCUACGGGAGGCAGCAGGAAGGAAUAUUGGACAAUGGGCGCAAGCCUGAUCCAGCCAUGCCGCGUGCAGGAUGACUGCCCUAUGGGUUGUAAACUGCUUUUGUACAGGAAGAAACCCUUCUACGAGUAGAAGAUUGACGGUACUGUAAGAAUAAGGAUCGGCUAACUCCGUGCCAGCCGCCGCGGUAA
rnacentral:rRNA from 1 species